rnacentral:ncRNA from 1 species
AAGAGCCGUGUAACGGGCGACUGUUACGCACGGUUCCGUGGGAGCCCAGGGCUGCGAUGCCCUGGGCCACCCGAC